CGUCGCCGGCUGACUGACUAGGAAGUGGAAGUUUCCCGCCCACUUUUUACUCAACGGGUUUUGUUUACGCUGCGCAGUUCGGAACUCAUAUUGUUCGAUUAAUAAUAAUACAGUUUACUAACGGUUAUGAGGCGGUCAACAAGAAGUUCAAAAAGCAGAACUUUGCCACAAAAUGAAGGAAGCAAGUCUGAGAAUGUAGUAUGGCAGUGGCAGGGCGAUGAAGGCCAGUGGGAGGCGUACUCUCCAUCCGACUGCGCCCUGCUGGACUCGGCCCUCGCCUCGAGGAAAACCAGCAUAUCCCUGACUUUGGGUUCAGGGUCGGUCUACCAGGUGGACCUGAAGAAGAUGGUCCAGGUCAACCCCGUCACUAAGUACAAGAGGAAGAUCCGCUCGCAGACGCUAAAAGGAGAAAGUUCUGAUGACACCGGAGGAGACCCAAGUGCUCCCAACGGGGAUCCGAUGGUGGUGAAACAGGAAGCAGAGGAUAGCGAGGAGCAGCUGUCCAAAGGCAAGAGGAAACGAGGCAAGAGCCAGGCCAGCAGCACCGCAGACAAGAGACUCAAGGAAGAGACGCUGAGCGAAGAAGUUGUGAAGACUGUGGUCAUGAAGGGAAAAGCUCCAGUGGACACGGAAUGCAAAGCCAAGCUUGGGAAGGCUCACAUUUACAGCGAAGGAGCGGACGUUUAUGACGUGAUGAUGAACCAAACCAACCUUCAGUUCAACAACAACAAAUAUUACCUAAUUCAACUGCUUGAGGAUGACGCGGCCAAGGUGUUUAGUGUGUGGAUGAGGUGGGGCAGAGUGGGCAAAGUGGGUCAGUCCAGCCUGACAUCCUGCGGUGGAGAUCUGCUCAAGGCCAAAGAUAUCUUCAAGAAGAAAUUCUUUGACAAGACCAAAAAUGAGUGGGAACACAGAGCGGGCUUUGAGAAGGUGGUUGGAAAAUACGACAUGGUCUACAUGGACUACAGCACAAGUUCAAAAGAGGAGAAGAAGACCCCGGAAGUUGCCAAAGCGCCAAAGAAAACCUCCAAGCUGAACUUGACGGUCCAGUCUCUGCUGGAGCUCAUCUGUGACGUCAAAGCCAUGGAGGAGGUGGUGCUGGAGAUGAAGUUUGACACUCGCAAGGCUCCUCUUGGCAAGCUUACCUUGGAGCAGAUCAGUGCCGGCUACACGGCUCUCAAGAGGAUUGAGGCGUGUCUGAAGAGGAAAGAUGGUGGCCGUGAGCUGGUGGAAGCCUGCAACCAGUUCUACACACGUAUCCCGCAUGACUUUGGGCUAAAAACGCCACCUCUCAUUCGGACAGAAGAUGAGCUGAAAAAGAAGAUUGAUUUGUUAGAGGCACUGAGGGACAUCCAGGUUGCGGUAAAAAUGGUUGAGAGCACCAGCGACGACCACGACGAGCAUCCUCUGGAUCGCCAUUACCGCGCCCUCAACUGCCUGCUGGACCCCCUGGACCCCCUCAGCCAAGAAUACAAGGUGAUCGAAAAGUACCUGCAGUCCACUCACGCCUCUACGCACUGCGACUACACCAUGAGCGUGCUGGACAUCUUCGCCAUGGACCGCGACGGCGAGAGCAGCCACUUCCUGUCGCACAUGCACAACAGGUCUGGAUGGACUAAACCGAUGGGCGUCUACAACCGUGAAUGUCUUUUUUUUUUUCAUUUUUUUUUUUGCCAGGAUGCUGCUGUGGCAUGGGUCCCGUCUCUCCAACUGGGUGGGCAUCCUCAGCCAGGGGCUCAGAGUGGCGCCACCUGAAGCUCCUGUCACAGGUUACAUGAUGCUGUGGGCGUGUCACUGAAUGCUCUGAAAACCCCGCCUCCCUGGAACUUUCAGCUGUCAAUCUUAAUAGGUGGUUUCUCUCCCGGUUUAGAAUUCCCAGUGCCGAUGCACAUUGCACACGCGCCGCAGAGAGGCAAUCUGUGGCAGCCAGGCAACCUCUGAGCUUCGGCAUAAUGCGACAAUUUUGCCUCCAUUGAAAUUCAGCGCGCCAUUAAUCAUGCUGCUGUGGCCGCCAAAGUGUGCACCAUAUGCGGCCACAGUAGUGCGUGCACCGCGCUCCCCCUGGAUGAUUUUUUUUUCCCCCUCCUCCUCGCUCAACGACGUUACGGGCAGCAAUUGUGAGGCUGAUGGCCCUAAUGCCGUUGCAGCGGACCACUGGCGGCUACUCUAGCUGCCGGCAUGGGGCUGCGGGAGCGGCGGAUCACACUUGGUUCGCCGCUGCCUCGCUACGCGCCGUGCGUGGGGGAGACAGCAGAAACACUGUAGCCCAAAUAACACAAAACAUACUACAUUUCACGGAAGAUGUUUUAUUUUAUUUAUUUAUUUUGUAUUGAAGGCAUAGUGUGAUGGCUAACUGCACAUUGUAAUAGUUAUUAUGAAUAAGGAAGUGGCAAUUAUGCCGAAUGGCCACUCCAUGGAAUAAGCGCGCUUGGUACUUAUUUAGUGGGGGAGAAGCGACUCAUGUUGUGCCCUGACCAUUUUAGCCCCGCCCAAAAAAACCCAGACAACUGAAACGGUGGAAAAGAGUUUAAUGCUAUAUCUCAAAUUAAGUAUUAAAUUGUUCUCAGUCUUUACACGUUUUCAGCACUUACUUUCAAACAUAUUUAAUGUAUUUAGAAAAAAAAAAUUUUAAUGACUUUACUGGGCCAUUAAUGUUCAAACUGCAUAAUGUUACAAUGGCUUACAAUUGCAUUGUUAUUUAUGUAUGUAGUUUUGUAUUGAAUUAUUAUUUAAAUUAUAUGUAUAUUUCUAUUUUACAUAUUCACUUCACACGGUGGCCGACUGGUUAGAGCGUCACCCUCACAAUUCUGAGGACCGGGGUUCAAUCCCCGGCCCCGCCUGUGUGGAGUUUGCAUGUUCUCCCCGUCCGUGCCUGCGUGGUUUUCUCCGGGCACUCCGGUUUCCUCCCACAUCCCAAAAACAUGCACAUUAAUUGAAAACUCUAAAUUGCCCGUAGGUGUGAAUGUGAGUGCGAAUGGUUGUUUGUUUGUAUGUGCCCUGCGAUUGGCUGGCAACCAGUUCAGGGUGUACCCCGCCUCCUGCCCGAUGAUAGCUGGGAUAGGCUCCAGCAUGCCCGCGACCCUAGUGAGGAGAAGCGGCUCGGAAAAUGGAUGGAUGGAUAUUCACUUCAACUUUUUUAAAUAAAGUACAGUACAUGUGUUAAGUGGCGGCACGGUGGCCGACUGGUUAGAGUCAGCCUCACAGUUCUGAGGACCCGGGUUCAAUCCCCGGCCCCGCCUGUGUGGAGUUUGCAUGUUCUCCCCGUGCCUGCGUGGGUUUUCUCCGGGCACUCCGGUUUCCUCCCACAUCCCAAAAACAUGCAUUAAUUGGUGACUCUAAAUUGCCCGUAGGUGUAACUGUGAGUGCGAAUGGUUGUUUGUUUGUAUGUGCCCUGCGAUCGGCUGGCAACCAGUCCUGGGUGUACCCCGCCUCCUGCCCGAUGACAGCUGGGAUAGGCUCCAGCACGCCCGCGACCCUGGUGAGGAGAAGCGGCUCAGAAAAUGGAUGGAUGGAUGGACAUGUGUUAAGUGCAUUUGGCAAGGGCAUCUACUUCGCCGACAUGUCUUCCAAGAGCGCCAACUACUGUUUCGCCAGGAACCACAACCAAGUCGGACUGCUGCUGCUUUGCGAGG